rnacentral:rRNA from 1 species
CGCAUCUGUGCAUGCAGCAUAUCAAUAAGCGGAGGAAAAGAAACUAACAAGGAUUCCCCUAGUAACGGCGAGUGAAGCGGGAAGAGCUCAAAUUUGAAAUCUUAAAGGGUUUCCCUUUACGAAUUGUAGUUUAAAGAAGUGUUUUCUGUUGAGGUUUUGGUAAAAGUUCUUUGGAAUAGGACAUCAUAGAGGGUGAGAAUCCCGUAUUUGACCUUUACUUUCAACUUUGUGAUACACUCUCAAAGAGUCGGAUUGUUUGGGAAUGCAGUCCAAAAUGGGUGGUAAAUUUCAUCUAAAGCUAAAUAUUGGCGAGAGACCGAUAGCGAACAAGUACCGUGAGGGAAAGAUGAAAAGAACUUUGAAAAGAGAGUUAAACAGUACGUGAAAUUGUCAAAAGGGAAGCGUUUGACACCAGUGUUGUUUUUCUGAAAAUCAAUUAAAGAACUGUUUAUGCUAAGUUGUUUAGACUUUAUCAGCUAACUGUUUAGUUUUGAGCUUUUCUUUAAUGCACUUUUCAGUUAACAAGUCAACAUCAAUUUCUUUUGCUGUAAAAAAGCUUGAGGAAGGUGGCUUGAGAUUCGUCUUAAGUGUUUAUAGCCUCUUGCCUAUGCAGUCGGAGAGAUUGAGGUCUGCAGCGUAGAUCCUUCGGGGCUAAAUGCAUUUGUGCUAAGUUAUAGCAUUUUAUAGACAACUUGUCGACUAUGAUUUGUCUUGUAGCUUACUCGCUUAUGUUAUUUUACCUACGCUUAGGAUGUUGAAGAUGUAGCACAUCAU